AUAUGAAGCUGGGUUGGGAUCUAAAUAAAGGUCUAGACAGGUAUAUAAGUUCGUGGAGAAGUGCAGAAGAUCCUGCAGCAGGUGAUUUUUCUUUUAAAUUAGAAUAUCGUGGAUUCCCAGAAUUUUUCUUAUGGGGUGAUCAAGGAAAGAAAUACCGCAGUGGGCCAUGGAAUGGGCAAAGAUUCAGUGGAGUACCAGAAAUGAAUCCUACUAAUUCAAUGAGCUUCGAUUUUGUCACUAAUAAAGAUGAGGUAUAUUACACAUAUCAUAUAUCUACGAAAUCUUUAUAUUCAAGAUUGACUGUUACUUCAUCAGGGC
rnacentral:misc_RNA from 1 species